rnacentral:misc_RNA from 1 species
UAUGAAGGGGGCUAGCGUUGUUCGGAAUUACUGGGCGUAAAGCGCACGUAGGCGGGUCGUUAAGUCAGGGGUGAAAUCCCAGAGCUCAACUCUGGAACUGCCUUUGAUACUGGCGACCUAGAGUCCGGAAGAGGUUAGUGGAAUUCCCAGUGUAGAGGUGAAAUUCGUAGAUAUUGGGAAGAACACCAGUGGCGAAGGCGGCUAACUGGUCCGGUGCUGACGCUGAGGUGCGAAAGCGUGGGGAGCAAACAGG